rnacentral:rRNA from 1 species
GAUCAUUACAAGUUGAAACGGUCGCCCUCGCGGUGACCGGUUCUUCAAACCUCUGCGUACCAAACCUUUCAGUUGCCUCCGGCGGCCCCUGGGCCGACGCGGCGCGCGACCUCCCCGUUCGCGGGGGGGCCGCUCCUCGCGGCGGACCACCCGCCGGGCGGUCAUAAACAAAACCUUUUUGUCGAGAUGGCAUCGUCUAAUUUCUUCAUAACAAAAUAUGAAAUACAACUUUUAACAAUGGAUCUCUUGGCUCCGGCAUCGAUGAAGAACGCAGCGAAAUGCGAUAACUAGUGUGAAUUGCAGAUUUCAGUGAAUCAUCGAGUCUUUGAACGCACAUUGCGCCUCUUGGUAUUCCUCGAGGCAUGCCUGUUCGAGCGUCGUUACGCCCCUCAAGCGCAAGCUUGGUGUUGGGGAUCGCCCCUGAGAUACGGCGGCGGCCCUUAAAUGCAUCGGCGGUGCUGGUGUCAGCCCGGAGCGCAGCAGACAUGCGGCUUCCAGGCGACCACGCGCCCGCCGGACAACGACCCGACUUUCAAACGUCGACCUCGGAUCAGGUAGGGAUACCCGCUGAACUUAAGCAUAUCAAUAAGCGGAGGAAAAGAAACCAACAGGGAUUGCCUUAGUAACGGCGAGUGAAGCGGCAACAGCUCAAAUUUGAAAUCUGGCGCCUUUGGCGUCCGAGUUGUAAUUUGCAGAGGAUGCUUCGGCGAUGGCGCCGCCCAAAGUUCCUUGGAACGGGACGUCGCAGAGGGUGAGAGCCCCGUGUUCGGGCGGAUGCCUUCGCCGUGUGAAGCUCCUUCGACGAGUCGAGUUGUUUGGGAAUGCAGCUCAAAACGGGAGGUAAAUUUCUUCCAAAGCUAAAUACCGGCCGGAGACCGAUAGUGCACAAGUAGAGUGAUCGAAAGAUGAAAAGCACUUUGGAAAGAGAGUCAAACAGCGCGUGAAAUUGUUAAAAGGGAAGCGCUUGCGGUCAGAACUUGGCCGCCGUUGCUCGGGGAGGUCUUGCGCCUCCCUCGCUCUUCGGCGGCUGGGCCAGCAUCGGUUCGGGCGGCUCGAGAAAGGUCGCGGGAACGUAGCUCCCUCCGGGGAGUGUUAUAGCCCGCGGCGCAAUAGGGCCCGCCUGGACCGAGGUCUGCGCA